GGGCGCGUAGCUCAGUUGGUAGAGCAGCUGACUCUUAAUCAGCGGGUCACAGGUUCGAUCCCUGUCGCGCCCACCA
rnacentral:tRNA from 4 species